rnacentral:tRNA from 1 species
GGGCCCGUAGCUCAGAAAGGUAGAGCAUCGGACUUUUAAUCCGGUGGUCGUGGGUUCAAUUCCCACCGGGCCCG